UACGUAGGGUGCAGGCGUUAAUCGGAAUUACUGGGCGUAAAGCGUGCGCAGGCGGUUUGUUAAGACAGGUGUGAAAUCCCCGGGCUUAACCUGGGAACUGCGCUUGUAACUGGCAGACUUGAGUGUGGCAGAGGGGGGUGGAAUUCCAAGUGUAGCAGUGAAAUGCGUAGAUAUUUGGAGGAACACCGAUGGCGAAGGCAGCCCCCUGGGCUAACACUGACGCUCAUGCACGAAAGCGUGGGGAGCAAACAGG
rnacentral:rRNA from 1 species